UGCUGGGCUUCCUGGUCAUCUUGUGGA
rnacentral:piRNA from 1 species